UACGUAGGGGCUAGACGUUGUCCGGAUUUAUUGGGCGUAAAGAGCGUGUAGGCGGCCAGGUAGGUCUGCUGUGAAAACUCGAGGCUCAACCUCGAGACGUCGGCGGAAACCAUCUGGCUAGAGUCCGGAAGAGGAGAGUGGAAUUCCUGGUGGUAGCGGUGAAAUGCGCAGAUAUCAGGAAGAACACCCGUGGCGAAGGCGGCUCUCUGGGACGGUACUGACGCUGAGACGCGAAAGCGUGGGGAGCGAACAGG
rnacentral:rRNA from 1 species